GCUCGAAUCACUAAUCAAAGCCCUAGUGAUACUUUUACUGUUUUUACUUUUUAUUUUUCGAGAUGAAUUAUUUUCCCCUUAAAAUCUGAAAUUUAGAUCUGGAUAACUACAAGUAGCAGAUUGAUCAUCAUCAUUUACGGAUAAUUUACAUAAUUUAUGAACUAAAAUACGUCUUUAGAAUGAUUGAUGGAACUGAAAUAAAAUAUAAAAAAAAGAAAUAAUAAAUAAUAAAUUAAUUGAAAAAGCAGAGGACAAGCAAUAAUUAUGGGGCUGGGUUGGAUUUUCCUUUUUCUUUCUUGGAAGUCAUAUCCUUGUCUUCUUUUUGGAAUUUUAGAGGUGGAAUUUCAUCCCAGGCUCCUAUUAUUGCCUGUCUUUCCUCAUAUUGACAGGCCCAGAAAUCUCGAGAAUGAUUUAUUUCAACUCCGAGCCAAAUAGCUAUGCAACAAUCUUAACCAAUGAGGAAAAACAAAGUUUUUAAAAAAUUAAAUUCUUUUUUUUUAAUGAGAAAAUGAAAUACCGUACCAAAGGGUUAAAAUAAAGGGACUCGACUAGCUUACAGAAUCUGUAAGGUACAGACUGCAGCAUCAGCCGUUGGAUGUGGUUGGAUGUGGAGUGAGAAACUGAACAAUAGAAAAUCGGAUGGUGGGAUGACGGGAGAUGUUUGUUACAGAAUCUGUACCAUAGACAGGUCCUAAAAUAAAGUUAUUAAGAAUUUUUGAGUUUGGAAAUUCAUACAUUUUAAAAAAAGAUUUAACUAUAUUAGAACGGUCCCACAAUAGCGUAUUAUUGAUAACCGUACGAUUAAAAAAAUAAAUAUUAAAUUUGUACUUAUUGUUAUAAUCCAACGAUAUUCAUCAGUGCUCUAUGACGGAGCAGCUCCACCAUAACCAUUAUCUUUAAAAAAAUACAUGUUUAAAUUUAAAUUUAUGUAUGUUCCGAAUAAAUAUUUUUUUAAUAAUUAUUAAAAAGAUGUAAAAAAUCUAUUUGAGCAUGGAUUCAGUCUAAAUCAUAAAAUUCUACCGCAUGGAUCACAUGCGCGGUUACUGAAUAGAGAGGUGAUGAGUCAUAGGUGCACCAUUUUAGAAUGGACCACUUGGUUUGGUGCCCUAAUCGCUGCCUCUACGUGGCCACAAAGUGGUUCGUCGGUUGUGUCUUUAGCUAAUUGCUCAUCACAUGUGCCAUCAACGCAUUGAACAUUCAAGCUUCGUUUGCCACCAAGUCUAUAAAAAUUAGAUUGAGAAAUAGGUGAUGCAUCUUGAAGGAAAAAAAAUCUUGAAUUGAUGAAAAUAACUUAUUUAUAUUUUUAACUUUUCCUGCACGUGUAUUAAAUAAAGUAUUUAAGAAAAAGUACUUUUAAUUUCAUGGAAAAUAUCAACACUUUAUAUUAAUAAAAUGGUUAGAACAGGAUCAAGUAGGUUCUAUUGGCCUAACCUCUUUUAAGUCUUCAUUUGUAGGCUCGAGUAAUCGAAGUGAUUACUGAAACAAACACUUUUUCUUCUCACUCACAAGUAAAAUUUAUUUAUUAUAAUUUUUUGAGUUUUUUUUUCUUUUUUAUUUCUUGAGUACUUAAUGUGGUGGACUUUAGUAGAUGAGAUGCCAAAAUGCCAAGACAAAGAGUCUUAAACUCUUAGCUCGAGUAGUAAUUCAAUAUAAUACAAAAAUUUGUUUAGCCAAGAGAUUUUGCAUUUAAUCUCCCUCCGUCAUCUUUUAUUUAAAUUCUUAAUACAUCUUUUUACAAUAUAAAAGAGAGAUUGACAUUUCUUUUUGUAGUUUUUAAAUUUUAUACGUGAUAAGAUCAUUCGUUAUCGAUCGACAUUACUUUAAUAUAAGUUUUAUGUUUAUUUACAUUUUGAUAUUUAAGACUACAGAUUAUAUGUAUCAUACCAUUGGAAGCAUUUUCUUUGUUCAGAUUUUUGUAUGAUAUAAAUAAGAGUAUCAUCAACACAAAACAAUCUUCCCAUGAAAUGGAUCUUAGCAAAAUUCACAAAAGAAUGGACUCAAAAUUCUAUCGAAUAUGCAACUCAAAAAAAAAUUAUUAAAAAUAGAGAAUUGUGUAAAAAGGACAACGAAAUGCUCGCACAAUCACAUGGCAUACGUUGUCUUUGACUUUCUGUUGGGUCAAUUGACAACUCCAAAGUAACCAAAAUAGCAACUGUCCAAAUCCUCAUCUGGGAUAACUUUUAACCCAUUUUGUAUACCUGUGGAUUUUGUAUAUAUUAUUCACAUGCAAAUGCAAAUGUACCAAACUUAUUAAUAUAAUUUAAUUUUAAAAGUACCCUUAAAAAUAAGUUUAUAAAAUGCCAAAAAGUACCAUCACUAACAUGCAAUGGUCUCCUUCUCAAAAAAAAUAAAAAAAAAAAUGCAAUGGUCUCCUUAACAAGGUCUCUCGCUUCAGUAAUUUUUUGUGAUUUGUUUUUUUUUUAUUAUUAUUUAUGUCGUUCAUGUGGGUCCAAAUGGGCAUAUUGAAUAGUGUAAUAAUUACAUUUUUCGACCCAUUACCCAUAUGCAUUUUCAUGUGUCCGAAGUGACGAGUGUCAAAGUAGAUGCACCAACAUCAAAAUUUGUAAAUGGGUUUUGCCUUAUCAUGCGUAUACUCAUUUUAACUUUCCCGUAUUCCCAUAAGAGCUUGAUCAUUGAAAAUCUGAUCAUUACAUACCCAUCAAAAGGAUUCUGCAAAGUUUCCCAAUACUUUAAGCUCUGGGUAUUGGUAGGCCAGUUUGGAUAUUCUUCAUUGAUCCUCUCACUUUAAUUUUUGGUUAAUUCAAGAGGAUUUUUCAAAUUGUUAAAAGUACUUUUUAGCUCAACUCAAGCUCUUACAUAAAAUGCUUCUGCUAAAAACUGUUUUACAAAAUCACUUCCAAAUGUGUCCUAUGGAUGCGAAUCACUCACUAAAGACCCUGAGUUGACCCCCAGUUUGCUAGCUUUUCUUAUUUUAAUGAAUUUCAUAUGCAGACUGAAAUAGCAGACCAAAACGAGGGGAUCAAAGGACAGGAUUUUAAAGAAUCUACUUGUAAUUUGUGGAAAUUAAAAUAAACAGAUAAAAGUGGGAGGCAACUGAGUGGGGCACUGGGUAUUGCUUUAGCUUCUUUGACUGUUGCACUGUUGCAGCUUGUGCUUGCCCAAAAAAAAAAGAGGACCAUUCACUGGGAAUAAAAAAACAUUAAAAAUACUGAAAGAACUAACCUUAAAAGUGGCAAAACCUAACAUUCUUUUCAACAAGAUUUCAUUUCAGUUUCAGGGUAACUGUUCACCUUGAAAGAUUGUGUGUGUGUGUGUGUGAGAGAGAGAGAGAGAGAGAGGGUUUUCAGUAAAAUUAAAUAAUAGUGACACUGGUUGUGAAUACCUAUAUAGAGUCUCAUUCAUCUGACUCACUUUUCAUUAUAACAGAUAGUAGCUUUUCCACUUAGAAAGAAGAUAUGAAUGUGUAUAUUUUUGUAAAAAUUUGUCACAUGUCCUCAUCUCCACUUACAUGAGAUGAUUCAACAAGGUACUGAUUCUGUCAAUUUUCUGCUGUUCCCAUACAGAAGCAGCCAAAGCACU
rnacentral:lncRNA from 1 species